rnacentral:misc_RNA from 1 species
GCUUCAGUUUUUCCCCAAGCGRAGCUCUUUCCUUGGGGUGCAUACGGUAUCCUGUGUUGCUUACCCACGAAAAGGAAUUCGACGGUCUUGGUGUCUUGAUCCGCCUUGCGCCCUUUGGGGUGCGGGGUGGACGCGAGGCGUGCUCCGUGUUCCCAACGUGCCUGGUGAUUUUUCGCWUGGUCGUUGCGGCCCAUGGAGUCUCGGCCCGUUCUCUCGGAUACAGAAUGCGAUGCAUGGGCGAGAGGUCUCGGCCUUGAUUCGUCCAAGCACUGUCCCUYGACUCGAAUGACUGCUGGGCCGUCUUGAUCUUCCCGACCGAGGCCCCSUUAGGGGUUUUCUGGAC